GAACCCAGCAGAUUGGAGGGAGAGUAGAGAGCUCGUCAGCCAAAACACAGUUUUCAUCCACAUAACCUCACUAAUACCCUGAUUUUACGCUAGAUGGGAGAGGUCUUGCUUUGUGGGACUGCUCUGCUGUGCCCUAUGAUGCUGACCGACUGCUGAUGCCAUGCAAACGGACCCGUGAGGAUUUGUUGCUGCUGUGUUUUUAUUUUUUUACCUGCAGGUGAAAUUUUUUUUUUUUGAACAGAAAGGCCUAAAGACAAUUUUUUUUUUUGUAUUUCGGUACAAAAGGACUGCAUUAAGGUGAACCCCACCCACAUUGACGUUCAAUUCACGGAUGCUUAAAAGAAAAAAAGAAAAGAAACCACAUUCUUGCAUUGGUACAUUUGAAAGUAAAAACAAAAGUUCCUACCGUAAGUCCGGUAUGCUUGGGCCUGAUAUUUCUUUAUUCAGACUCUACAGUAGUACAUUGCUAUCGGACCCACAUAAAACAAGUUUCUCGUUAAUCCCUUAUUGUAUAUACAAGGUGGUUUGGACAGUGUUCCUUGUGUACUAGGUUACAUGAACAUGUUUAGGCUGUUCAUUGUUCAGGAAAUGAAUGUGCUCUUUUAUAAUAAAAAAUGUUUAAGCAUUUAUAAACUA